CUGGAGGCUGGGAAGUCCAAUACCAAGGUGCUGGCCUCCUGUGAGGGUCUUUUUGCUGGAUCAUCCCAUCCCAAGGCUUUGAGGCAAACUUCCCUAUGACCUGACCAAGCAUCAUGAGGAGCUCCUGUCAAGGAAGACCCUGGGUCCCUGAACUGGACACAUCAGGGUCUCAAACCAGUCUCAGCAAACGACUUCUGGUUCCUCAUCUCUAAAGUGAGAAUAAAGUGUCUACCUCAUAAGAGGAUUCAAUA
rnacentral:lncRNA from 10 species